UACGAAGGGGCGAGCGUUGUUCGGAUUUACUGGGCGUAAAGGGCGCGCAGGCGGCACAUUUUGUCAGGCGUGAAAGCCCCGGGCUUAACCUGGGAACUGCGUUUGAUACGGAUGGGCUAGAGUUCGGGAGAGGAGAGUGGAAGUUCCCAGUGUAGGGGUGGAAAUUCGUAGAUAUUGGGAAGAACACCGGUGGCGAAGGCGGCUGCUCUGGACCGAGACUGACGCUGAGGCGCGAAAGCUAGGGGAGCGAACGGG
rnacentral:rRNA from 1 species